rnacentral:rRNA from 1 species
UCAAGCUAAUAAGAGCGCAAGGGGAAUGCCUUGGCAUCAGGAGCCGAUGAAGGACGUGAUAAGCUGCGAAAAGCUUCGGGGAGCUGCAAAUAAGCAUUGAUCCGGAGAUAUCCGAAUGGGGAAACCCGCUGGAGCCAUACUCCAGCAACGUGAUCUGAAUCAAAUAGGGUCACGUAGGGAACCGCCUGAACUGAAACAUCUAAGUAGGGCGAGGAAGAGAAAUCAACCGAGAUACCGCAAGUAGUGGCGAGCGAACGCGGCAGAGGCCAAACCAGGAGUAGCAAUAUUCCUGGGGUUGCGGACAGUCGGGAAGGUCGAUUUUGUUAGGGGAACGGCAUGGGAAGGCCGGUCAAAGAGUGUGAGAGCCACGUACCCGAAAAUGAAAGAGACUGGGACUGGAUCCAGAGUACCGCCGGACACGUGAAACCCGGUGGGAAGCAGGGGGGACCACCCUCCAAGCCUAAAUACUACCUGAUGACCGAUAGAGGAGCAGUACCGUGAGGGAAAGGUGAAAAGCACCCCGGGAGGGGAGUGAAAUAGUACCUGAAACCUUGUGCUUACAAGCAGUCAUAGCCCGUUAAAGGGUGGUGGCGUACUUUUUGUAGAACGGUCCGGCGAGUUAUAGUAACCGGCAGCUUAAGGUAUUGAGUACCGGAGGCAGAGCGAAAGCGAGUGUUAAUAGCGCGAUAGUCGGUUGCCAUAGACCCGAAACCAGGUGACCUAGCCAUGUCCAGGAUGAAGUGGAGGUAAAGCUCCAUGGAGGUCCGAACCCACGUUCGUUGCAAUGACCGGGGAUGAGGUGUGGCUAGCGGUGAAAUUCCAAACGAACUUGGAGAUAGCUGGUUCUCCCCGAAAUAGCUUUAGGGCUAGCGUCAGUAAUGAGUUUAACGGAGGUAAAGCACUGAAUGGGCUAGGGGGCGAUAAGCUUACUGAACCCUAUCAAACUAAGAAUGCCGUAUAAAUGCUUGCUGGCAGUCAGACUGCGAGUAAUAAAAUCCGUGGUCAAAAGGGAAACAGCCCAGACCUACAGCUAAGGUCCCCAAUAUACGCUAAGUGGAAAACGAUGUGAGAUUGCAGAAACAACCAGGAUGUUGGCUUAGAGGCAGCCACACGUUUAAAGAGUGCGUAAUAGCUCACUGGUCGAGUGAUCUUGCGCGGAAAAUUUAACGGGGCUAAGCGUAUAACCGAAGCUUAGGAUUCCGCGAAAGCGGAGUGGUAGGGGAGCGUCGUGUACGGGGUGAAGUCAUACCGGAAGGAAUGGUGGACUGUACACGAGUGAGAAUGCCGGAAUGAGUAGCGAGAAUUAUGUGGGAAUCAUAAUGGCCGAAAAUCUAAGGUUUCUUGGGGAAGGUUCGUCCGCCCAAGGUAAGCCGGGAGCUAAGGCGAGGCCGAAAGGCGUAGUCGAUGCACAUACGGUAGAAAUUCCGUAGCCGCCAAAGUUGUUAAGCAUCGUGACACAUGGAGAUAGCUGGUCCUGGCCGUUGGUUGCGCCAGGCGAAAGGACGCCGAAUGAGGUGGAUCCGGCGAUGCUCUGUGGCGAGAAAAGCGAUGUGGAUUGACGAGGCGCCCGUACCGCAAACCGACACAGGUAGAUGAGGAGAGAAUCCUAAGGCCAACGGGAGAAGGGUUGUUAAGGAACUAGGCAAAUUGGUCCCGUAACUUCGGAAUAAGGGACGCCGUCGCAAGACGGUCGCAGAGAAUAGGCCCAAGCAACUGUUUACCAAAAACACAGGUCUCUGCUAAAUCGAAAGAUGACGUAUAGGGGCUGACGCCUGCCCGGUGCCGGAAGGUUAAGAGGAGGACUUAGGGGGCAACCCCGAAGGCCCGAAUUGAAGCCCCGGUAAACGGCGGCCGUAACUAUAACGGUCCUAAGGUAGCGAAAUUCCUUGUCAGGUAAGUUCUGACCCGCACGAAAGGCGUAAUGAUUUGGGCACUGUCUCAACAGCCCGCCCGGCGAAAUUGU